AGGUAGGCAAACAAGCAAGUAGAAGACAUCCAUCCACAGCUUCAGACCCCUCCUGACCACAACGUACACUGUGCUCAACCAGAAGGAUGCCUUCUCCAUCUUGCCAAAGCCAGCCUCUAUUUGCAAGAUUUGGAGAGAGGCUUUAAUGGACAACUUACUUGGACACCUCUGCCUCAAGGAUUCAAGAACUCACCCACAGUCUUUGAUGAGGCACUGCAUGAGGACCAGGGUGAGUGCCUAGGGGUCCACCCUCAAAUAACCUUACUCCAGUGAGUAGAUGACCCAAUUGUGGCCCCUGACCUGGCCCCUGACCUAAAGGCCAUACCAGACCAUACUAUAGGAGCUGAGUCAACUGGGCUACCAAGUGUCUGCUAAGAAGGCCCAGCUUUGUCAAAUCGGUGUCACUUAUCUGGAGUACAUACGCAAGGGGUGUGGGGCAAAGCAUGCGGUCAGAUGCCUGGAAGCAAACAUCCUCAGCAUCCCACUUCCAUCAACCAAAAGGAAAAAAGGAAAGCAUGGGAAUUUUGGGGGUCUGCUGGAUUUUGUAGACUCUGGGGGCUGAGAUACACCAAGGCUAUUAAAUGAGGCUACCAGGGAUCAGGAAGAUAAGAUAGAAAGGACCUCAGAGGUGGACAUGGCUUUUAAUACCUUAAGAGGGGCUGGAGAGAUGGCUCAGCAGUUAAGAGCACUGACUGCUCUUCCGAAGGUCCUGAGUUCAAUUCCCAGCAAACACAUGGUGGCUCACAACCAUCCAUAAUGAGAUCUGGCGCCCUCUUCUGGACAGCUACAAUGUACUUACAUAUAAUAAAUAAAUCU
rnacentral:lncRNA from 1 species